CAAUGCACGAAAGUGUGACGGGGCAAUGCCGCGUGUGGGAUGAAGCCCCUCGGGGUGUAAACCACUGUCAGGGUCUAGGAACACAAUGACCAUACCCAAAGGAAGCACCGGCUAACUCUGUGCCAGCAGCCGCGGUAAUACAGAGGGUGCGAGCGUUAAUCGGAAUCACUGGGCUUAAAGGGUCCGUAGGCGGGACUGCAGGCGUCGAGUGAAAUACCACGGCUCAACCGUGGAACUGCUCGGCGAACCGCAGUUCUUGAGGCGAGUANAGGCGAUCAGAACGAUAGGUGGAGCGGUGAAAUGCGUAGAUAUCUAUCGGAAUGCCAAAGGUGAAGACAGGUCGCUGGGCUCGUCCUGACGCUGAGGGACGAAAGCGUGGGGAGCAAACGGGAUUAGAUACCCCGGUAGUCCACGCCGUAAACAAUGCGCACUGGGUCGGGGAGGUUUGACGCCUUCCUGGCCGAAGCAAAAGUGUUAAGUGC
rnacentral:rRNA from 1 species